AUGGACUGCUGCUGCCGCGCGCGUCGCCCGGACCUAGGGCUCGCCUUAUUCGGCCGCUUCCUCGGGACAGGCCUGAGGACAAACGAGAUCGUCGCCACCACCUUCCUCAAGUGCCUCUGCUGCGCGAAACGGACAGAAGAGGUUGUGAAAGUACUGCUUCACAGAAUGCCCGAGCUGGGCUGUGUGCCUAAUGCCAUCUCGUACUCCAUAGUUUUGAAAAGCUUGUGUGAAAAUAGCAUGAGUCAGCAGGCACUCGACCUGCUCCAGAUGGUAGGGAAAGAAGGAGGCUGCCUUCGUGAUGUGGUGGCAUAUAACACAAUCAUCCAUGGCUUCUUUAAGGAGGGCGGAAUAGACAAGGCAUGCCAUCUAUUCCAUGAAAUGAUGCGGCAAGGGGUUGUGCCGACUGUGGUGACAUACAACACAGUAAUUGAUGCGUUGUGCAAGGCCGGAGAAAUGGACAAGGCAGAGCUAGUCUUUCAGCAGAUGGCUCGUAAUGGUGCGCAGCCCAAUAAAGUGACAUGUAAUGGCAGUAAAUUUAGUUCACUGACUGACGGAUAUUGCUCAGUCGGCAAGAUGGAUAAAACAUUCAAACUGCUUGAUGCCAUGGUAUCAGUUGGAAUUGAGCCUGAUGCUGUUACUUAUAGUGCACUUCUUGAUGGCUAUUUUAAAAAUGGAAGGAUCGAUGAUGGUUUGACUCUAUUUAGAGAAAUGUCGUGCAAGGGAGUUAAACCAACAACUGUGACAUAUGGCAUCAUACUGGAUGGUUUAUAUCGUGCUGGGAGAACUGCUGCUGCCAAGAAAAUGUUUGAUCAGAUGAUCAAAAGUGGAAUAACAGUGACCGUUUCCAUAUACACUACUCCCUCCUUUCCGGUUUAUAAGGCGUAUUUCAACUUUUUUGUUUUUCCAAUUUAA
rnacentral:rRNA from 1 species